rnacentral:rRNA from 1 species
GACGAACGCUGGCGGCGUGCCUAAUACAUGCAAGUCGAACGCUUUUUCUUUCACCGGAGCUUGCUCCAUCGAAAGAAAAAGAGUGGCGAACGGGUGAGUAACACGUGGGUAACCUGCCCAUCAGAAGGGGAUAACACUUGGAAACAGGUGCUAAUACCGUAUAACACUAUUUUCCGCAUGGAAGAAAGUUGAAAGGCGCUUUUGCGUCACUGAUGGAUGGACCCGCGGUGCAUUAGCUAGUUGGUGAGGUAACGGCUCACCAAGGCAACGAUGAAUAGCCGACCUGAGAGGGUGAUCGGCCACACUGGGACUGAGACACGGCCCAGACUCCUACGGGAGGCAGCAGUAGGGAAUCUUCGGCAAUGGACGAAAGUCUGACCGAGCAACGCCGCGUGAGUGAAGAAGGUUUUCGGAUCGUAAAACUCUGUUGUUAGAGAAGAACAAGGAUGAGAGUAAAAUGUUCAUCCCUUGACGGUAUCUAACCAGAAAGCCACGGCUAACUACGUGCCAGCCGCCGCCGUAA